rnacentral:rRNA from 1 species
AUGGCCGGCGCGGGCGCCACCCCCGCUCCCCUUGCUGGCGUCUCCUCCGGCCAGCUGCCGUCGUCCCCGACGUCAACGCCGUCAUCCUUGCGGGGGCCAGAUCAGGCGGAUCCAUCACCGACAGGUCUUUCAUGCACCAUCCUGGAGGCUUCUCCCGUGCGUCCUGGUUGGGGGGACUGGCUUGGAUGUUUCAGAGAGAAGACGACGCCCGCUGAUCCCAUAUGUUGCGCCCCAACAGCUCGUGGGGAAACGUUGGAAGGCUGGCACCUUGUCACCGAGCGCCGUCGUUUGCCAUCUUCUCAGGCCUUUUGUCAGCCCGCUUUCAAUGCCCGGCCGGCUCCUCCGUCGUGGUUGAAGGAUCGAUGUUUUCGGUGCCUCUCCAAAGGUCAUCAUGCCCACUCUUGGAGGGACCCAAUUCGGUGCAGAAGCUGCCUCUAUUUCGGCCACACUGCUCGCUUCUGUCAUGCAAAGAACACCAGCCACCAGUCUACGCCGCUUUGA